CUGCCUCUUGUCUUUUUAAUUUUUUUUCCAAAACCUUAAGGAACAAGGUGAACAAUUGGUCUCAAUUCUUCAUAAAAUCGUCGGAACUCAUCACCAGCCUUUUAUGAAUCACAUCCAAGCUAAGGAUGGCCUCUGUUUGUUUUGUUUGCAGUGACUGUCUUUAGAAGGAUUCCCCCUUACUUCAUCAUAUUUUUCAACCAGGGCUGAAUUUACUGCUCCACAUAUUUAGAAACAUGUAUUUCUGCAAGGGAUGAAUGUAAAAUAAUAUGCCCUUUAGAGCCAGGGUCUACAAGGGAAUUUCUAGGCAGCGGGCUGAGAAAAGAGACCACUCAAGGAGAAUAUUAAUGGCUGUGAUUACAAAGAGGGCGAGUAAUUGGUUCAAGGCUCAAGCAAAUAAGAGGAAAUGCGAACAGAAGGGCUAACCGAGCCAUCAAAUGUGCCUCAAGAUUAGCAUCGUUCAGAAGGGACAUGCGUUAAAGGUGGAUUUUGCUUGAAAACAAACGCCACGAUGACUCUGUGAGUAGAGAGAAGCUCGUGUGGAGGUUAAAGGUCACACUUCCCGCAGACUGUAGGUUAAUGACCUAUCUCUUGGAUGAGUUGAAAGAGGGGCAGGAGCAAGUGGGCUGGCUCCCAAGGAUUUUUGUAAUGAGCUGAAUUUAUGGUACUGUGCGAGGGCAGGCCAGUUAUUGCUAAGUAACAGGGAUGGUGGGGGAAUGACCUGAUUGCUGGUCUAUAAUCCAUCAGAGGUUGAUUUCUGUGUAUGAUUCCCCUGGGAGAUUGUUAGAAGGAAUGCACAGCUAAGGCCUGCCAUUAGCUCAUUGGGGGCCCAUUAGGGCUUUUCAGGGGGCCAGUAUUCCUGGACCCAGAGAAAUUCUGUUUACUAGAAAAGCAAAGAGAAAUGACAGAAAGAUCCAGGUCUUUUUCCUGUGCUCUGCUUUCUAAACCCAAUACAUCUCUGAGACAAACUCAUUUAACUGCAAAUAACUGGAGAGAAACUAAUAGGUAGGAGAGCACUCAUUUAUCAAAGGGUUUGAGGGUAAUAUGUGUCACCAAAUGCAUAAGUAGGCUCCUAUUUAUGUACUAAAUAUAUUUUCAGAAAGGCUCAAACCAUGGAGAACUCUGGCUUAAAUGUUACAUGUAGGUGUGUAUUGCCAGCAUAUAAAAUACUUCAAAUGUGUUUUUUCCUCCCUGGCUCUGCAUCCUCAGGAUUUAAUACAUUUUACUGUCUCAUGCUUGUAAUUUCAGAGUUGUGUUAAUAGAACCUAGUGAGGAAACCCCCACUCAAUUCCCAAUUCAGCGUGCACCCAAAGAAUCACGAAAAGGCCUUGAUGUAAUUACAUGAGGUCGUUUAAUGACGGAGCUCCGGACCGACUUGCAUCCCACACAGGAGAUAACAGAUGUCGGCCACGAGACUCGGAAGCUAGGGGUUUUUAUGGAGUAAGGGGCUUAGGGGUGUGGAAUUCAGCAUAGCGACACACUAUUGGCUUAUUCAAACAUCAGCAGAAAAAUUACAUGUACGUGCAGGGUGUCAGAGUUCUGUGAGUUGUUGACUCAGUUCAGAUAGCCCUGUUAUGUCUUCACAUUUCUCUCUAUCUUUAAGGUUAAGCUGUUCCCAGGAAUGUUUUAACUACAGGGCAUACCCAGGUUUGUUUUUCUUUAUUCUCAGCCCCAGGCAGCCUCUAGGCUCACAAACAACCAGCAAUUUCUGAGUACUUUAUAUGACUUACAGGUCUUGAAAUUUCAUCUUUCUUUCAGUGUUUCCAUGUUCAGUUAAACUUUCUUGUCUUGUUAAGGAUUCCAUUGCUGUGAAGAGACAACAUAACCACCGCAACUCUUAUAAAAGAAAGCAUUGAAUUGAGGAUGGCUUACAGUUCAGAGGUUCAGACCAUUGUCAUCAUGUUGGGGAAGCAUGGGAACAUGCAGGCGGACAUGGAGCUGGGGAGUAGCUGAGUGUUCUACAUCGGGAUCAGCAGGCAACAGGGACAGUAAGAGGUAACCCUGGGCCUGGCUUGAACAUUUGAAAACCCAAAGCACAUCCUUAAUGAUUAACUUCCUCCAAGGAGGCCAUACCCACACCACCAAGCCAUGGUGUCACUUCCUAAGAGCCUAUGGGGGCCAUUUUCAUUGAAACCACCACAGUUCUCUAUCUAGUAGGAGGAUAACUGUGGUGAAUUGAAAAUAUUUUAUGUUUAAGUGUGUGUGUGUGUGUGUGUGUGUGUGUGUGUUUGUGCAUGCCCAGGGAGGCCAGAAGAACAUGUCAGAUCCUCUGGGGCAGGUUUAUAGAUGGUUGUGAGCUACUGGAUGUGAGCGCAGGGAAAUGAACUUAGGUCCUCUGCAGAAGCAACGAGUGCUCUUAAAGUUUGAGACAGCUCUCCAGCAUGAGGUUAAAUUUAUGAAUGUUGUUUUCUUUGCAUGAAGCGAGUCUAUUUUCUUUCAUGAUGGUCAGUUGAAGUAGCCCAGGCUUUUUUAGUGAGGGAGUUCCCAUAGCUUCUGCUCACUUUGUACUGUUACACCUGUAAUAAUACAGGGUGCUUUAAUAAGCUCAGGAUUUGGAUCAGGUCAUGUUCUUAGAAGAACUGACCUGCCAGUGAGAGCACACAAUGAAUUGUGUCCUCUCUGACUCACGGAGGGAGGAAAGUUUGUCAUAUGAAAGCUGAUUUAGUGCUUGGGACAUAAAAACAAAACAAAGCUUAAGGUGAAGCCCCAAGAGUAAGAGACUGGUUCCUUAAUCCUGGGAAACUAGGUUAGUCAGGGCUCACUGUGCAACCAAGCCAAACCAAGUUCAAGCAACUGAAAACAACAACAACAACAGCAGGAACAGUAACAGCAGCAGCAACAACAAUAACAACAACAGCAACAGCAGGGACAAUAACUAAAAUAACAAUAACAGCAGCAGCAACAACAACAAUAACAACAACAGCAACAGCAGGGACAAUAACUAACAAUAACAAUAACAGCAGCAGCAACAACAAUAACAACAAACAGCAACAGCAGGAACAAUAACUGACAACAAAAACAACAGUAGCAGUAACAGCAAAAACAGCAGUAGCAAUAACUAGCAAUAACAACAGUAACAGCAACAGUAACAACAGCAACAGCAGGAACAAUAACUAACAAUAACAAUAACAACAACAACAGCAGUAACAACAACAACAACAGCAGUGACAAUAACUAACAAUAACAACAGCAACAACAGCAGCAGCAGCAGCAAUAACAGGAACAACAGCAAGAACAAUAAUUAACAACAAAAACAUCAGCAGCAGUAACAACAGCAGCAGAACAAUAACUAACAACAACAAUAACAGCAAGAACAAUAACUAAGAAUAAUAGCAGCAGCAACAACAACAACAACAACAACAUCAUCAACAACCCAUGCCUCUAAAAAGUUUCCCUUUCUCCUCAUUAUCUGGGGAUUUUGUAUUAGUGUGUUCUUAAUUCCUGUUAUCUGGCACUUGGCCACACCUCCCUCCUUUCUUUCCCACUCUUAAACACCAGCAGGUGUGUGAAGUCACAGAACUGACAACCCUGCAUACCCUUUCUGUCAGAUGACAGCAUCCACACUCAAGGUUAUUUAGAAGAGAAGUCCACCUUGUCUUUGCAGCAGGCUCCAGGCAGAAUGGAGAUGCUGUGAAGAACGGCCAGACUUAGAGCACUGCUCUGGGCCAAGGGUUUCAUAUGCUUAGGUUUACGCGUGGCAGAGCUUGGAACUAUUUCCAUGCAUAAUCCUUGUUUAAAUUUUUAUGUUUUCCACACAUCUCCUCACUGUUCCUUUCCAAAGUAUAAAUGUAAUCCCAUCCCACACACAAACAAAAACAAAAAACAAACAAAAAAACCCACUCACCAAACCAGCUAUGAGGCAAUGCGCUUGCUAAUGAAUUACAUUCAGUCAUUCUAUGCAAUAUUCUAUAGAUUGCAUUAUAUCUGAUGAAACCAUACAAUGUCAAUUUAAAAAAUACAAAAAUAAAAUUUUUCUUUGUAAAACCUGUAUAUGGAGGAUGGUGGACCAGAAGGAUGCAUACACAUUGGCUAGGACAACGAGCUGCUCUGACCUCGGUGUGGCGAGGCAGCUGUAACUAAUGAUGACACACUACAGUUUUGAGCCUAUGUAGAGGCUCUUAAGCCCCUUGUAUUCUUUGUUGUGCAGUGCUGCUGUUGUGCUGUGGUAUUCUAGGUGUCAAGAUGGUACUCAACUGUAAGAAGUGGGAGAGGAGGAAAGAGAGCCCUUCACGUGUGUCAAGAGAGUAUUCAAGGGGAGAGAAAAAUUACUGGAGAUCCCUACCCUAGGAGUCAGCUUUCAUCAAGGAAGAAACUCCUCUCCUAAGCCACUUCUAGCUGCUGCAGUGCUGUGACUUGACCUGUCUGCGAACGUCACAAGGAGAGACUGAACAAGAAGUGUGUGAACGGAAUGAGAGGUUUGUUAAUUCCUGCAAGUUGGUCACUGUGGUGGACACCUGCAUCAAUGAACCAUCUUGUGCCCUGUCUAUAUAUAGUCCAUCGCUGGCAUUUGAUGGCAGACUUGACUUCUAAUUGACAUGCAGAUAUGAUACCCUGGUAGGAGAAACUAUAUCUUCAAACUGAAUUCUGAGCUUCUCCCGCCAAUGUGCAGUUGUCAAAUCGGGUGCUGAACUUUGCCUCCCCUAUCCCCUUCAGGCCAGAGUGUUAUAGAGCUUUUAAGCCUGAAAACCACAGACAUCUGUGCUAAGCUGUAGUUACAUUUUUCUACCAGUCAGGAUUCAGGGCUAGGGGCCUUCACUGGGAACAUUUCUCUGUGUGGCACAUUUAUCCUGUUCUCAUUGGUUGGUUGAUACCGCUGUGGAGGGGAGACUUGCCUAGUAUUCCUAUGUCUGCCAAGGAGGAUGUCAGCUACAGCAGGGGGGUCUUGGGAACUUAAAUUUUAUUUGACCCCUAUUCAAAAUGGAAGUUUUAUUCAAAAUGGCUUCAUCUUGGUUCCUUCUUACACAGUAUCACACGGUAAGGGCGAGCUUCUGUUCCUAGUGUACCAGUCAUGUGAACGCAGGCAAAAGAAGCUGACACAGUAGACAUGGCUUCAGUCUUGAGGUGGUUUCACCAUUUUCCAAUUAUCUGAUGGUGUGAAGGUUGCACUUUAUUUUUACCCACAGUAAACAUAUGCUAAUGAUGAGCACAGAGACUUAUUGAAUAAACAACCUCUUGUGUAGUAUCCAAUAAUGUAAUGAGGUAGUCAACAUUUUUAUGUUCUAAAAUAGCCUUUGUGUUAGCGGUCUCAGCCCAAACCUCAGGCUUCUUUGAGUUGCGUGCACAUGAGCGGUGAUGGUUGAUAGCGUAGGUAUGUUAAAUAUGUCUUUGAUUUAGGAAGUAUUCAACUUGUGAUGGAUGUUUCAGGACAUAGCCAUUGUAUGUAAGUUGUGAGACGGGUAUACGCAACUGCUGUCUACCAAUUAAAUAAAAGUAAAACAAAACCUUAAAU
rnacentral:lncRNA from 1 species